rnacentral:misc_RNA from 1 species
CCGAGUUUACAACUCCCAAACCCUUAUGUGAACAUACCAAAUGUUGCUUCGGCGGACUCGCCCCGGCGUCCGGACGGCCCUCGCGCCGCCCGCGGCCCGGGCUCAGGCGGCCGCCGGAGACCACAAAACUCUUCUGUAUUAUCAGUAUCUUCUGAAUCAGCCGCAAGGCAAAACAAAUGAAUCA